AGUGGCGGACGGGUGAGUAACGCGUGAGAAUCUGCCUUGGGGUCGGGGACAACCACUGGAAACGGUGGCUAAUACCGGAUAAGCCGAUUGGUGAAAGAUUUAUUGCCCGAAGAGGAGCUCGCGUCUGAUUAGCUAGUUGGUGAGGUAAGAGCUCACCAAGGCAGCGAUCGUAGCUGGUCUGAGAGGACGAUCAGCCACACUGGGACUGAGACACGGCCCAGACUCCUACGGGAGGCAGCAGUGGGGAAUUUUCCGCAAUGGGCGAAAGCCUGACGGAGCAAGACCGCGUGAGGGAGGAAGGCUCUUGGGUUGUAAACCUCUUUUCUCAGGGAAGAAGCUCUGACGGUACCUGAGGAAUCAGCCUCGGCUAACUCCGUGCCAGCAGCCGCGGUAAUACGGAGGAGGCAAGCGUUAUCCGGAAUUAUUGGGCGUAAAGCGUCCGCAGGUGGCGAUUCAAGUCUGCUGUCAAAGCACGGGGCUUAACUCCGUAAAGGCAGUGGAAACUGAAUAGCUAGAGUGCCGUAGGGGUAGAGGGAAUUCCCGGUGUAGCGGUGAAAUGCGUAGAGAUCGGGAAGAACAUCGGUGGCGAAAGCGCUCUACUGGACGGCAACUGACACUCAGGGACGAAAGCUAGGGGAGCGAAUGGGAUUAGAUACCCC
rnacentral:rRNA from 1 species